rnacentral:rRNA from 1 species
AUACGGAGGAUGCGAGCGUUAUCCGGAUUUAUUGGGUUUAAAGGGUGCGUAGGCUGUGCGUUAAGUCAGGGGUGAAAUGCCGUCGCUCAACGACGGAGCUGCCCUUGAUACUGGCGUGCUGGAGUACGGAUGCCGUUGGAGGAAUGAGUGGUGUAGCGGUGAAAUGCUUAGAUAUCACUCAGAACACCGAUUGCGAAGGCAUCUGACGAAUCCGUCACUGACGCUGAGGCACGAAAGCGUGGGGAUAGAACAGGAUUAGAUACCCUGGUAUUCCACGCCGUAAACGAUGAUGACUAACCGUCGGCGACAGACAGUCGGCGGCCAAGCGAAAGUGAUAAGUGUCCCACCUGGGGAGUACGGUCGCAAGGCUGAAACUCAAAUGAAUUGACGGGG